UCAUAUGGUGGGCCAUUCAACUGUCAUUUCGGGUGUCGCGCGGUUCGUGCAUUUUCCGUUGCGUUAAUUUGUACAAAUUUCAUAAUAUACACUUAUAUAUUUUAUAGUUAAAUUCCGUGUGUCCCUUUACGACAAUUUAUCCUUGCUAGUUCCCAUCCCAAGUGACAAUCCAUUUGCUUAUGUAAAAGUCUUUCAACACAUUCGGACUAGUCAAAUCUUACUCGAAGAUGGGAAAUGUGCUUGCCGCUUCGAAGCCCCCACCGCCUCUGUUUGACAGCAAGGUCGACAUACCGGAACCGGUGCCCUCGGCCAGCUUAUCUACAAAAGAGACUGCUGCGAGCGGUGAAGACACCGUGAAUCCGGGGACAAUUGAAGAUUUACAUAAAAAGUGUAAAGAUGUCAUGCCCGUGCCAUUCGAAGGUGCAAAGAUGAUGCUGAACAAGGGGCUCAGCAAUCACUUCCAAGUUUCGCACACACUUAACUUAUGCUCGACAAGCCCGUCUGGGUACAGAUUCGGUGCAACAUACGUUGGGACAAAACAGUUCACGCCUAAUGAAGCUUAUCCCGUAUUGCUAGGCGACAUCGAUCCAUCUGGAAACCUAAACGCAAAUCUCAUUCACCAAUUCUCACCACAACUUCGUCUAAAGUUCGCAUCUCAGAUCCAACAAAGCAAAGUCACAGCAGCGCAACUUACAACCGAUUAUCGUGGCAAGGAUUUCACCGCGUCCCUUACAGUGGUCAACCCCAACAUUAUCACCAACUCUGGGGUCGUGGUGGCUCACUAUUUGCAAUCGGUCUCAGAAAAAUGUGCCCUUGGCGGGGAAAUCGCUUAUCAGUACGGACCGAAUGUUCCAGGUGGGAAAGUCGCUGUUGUAUCAGCAGCGGGACGAUACGGAGAUGAGAAAUCUACUUGGUCGGGCACUGUGGGUGCCGGGGGUGUUCAUAUUUGUUAUUACCAAAAGGCUAGUGAGCAAUUACAGGUUGGCGUCGAGUUCGAAACGAGCUUCCGACUGCAGGAGUCCGUUGCAUCUGUCGGCUAUCAAGUGGAUUUACCUAAAGCCGACCUGGUAUUCCGAGGGAUGGUCGACUCAAAUUGGAAUGUCAGCGGCGUGUUAGAGAAACGCCUUCAACCUCUGCCAUUUUCGUUCGCUCUGAGCGGCCGAUUAAAUCACGUCAAGACCCAAUUUCGGCUGGGAUGUGGUCUGAUAAUUGGCUAAAUUCCAUGCGUUAUGUGGACCGACACUCGCAGCAUUCAUUAUUGAGUUUCCUUUUUUCUGAAAUUCACGCGCAUCCACCCCUCCUUCCUGAAAUCAUUAGUAAAGCAAAUAACUUCCACUUGCUGCAUUUAUUUUCUUUUUAUCUUGAUAUGUAACAAUUAUGUGGUACUUUCAGCAAAGACGUGAAAUAAAAUAUGAUCCUGUUAGUAUAGUGAAAGUAGAAUAACUUUAAACUGAAGUUUGAUGAAGUUUAUUGUUCUUUGUCAAAUAAAUAUGGAGCGUUAUGCGGCUCCAAUUGACCUAA
rnacentral:misc_RNA from 1 species